rnacentral:rRNA from 1 species
AUUGAACGCUGGCGGCAUGCUUUACACAUGCAAGUCGAACGGUAACAGGGUGCUUGCACCGCUGACGAGUGGCGAACGGGUGAGUAAUGCGUCGGAACGUGCCGAGCAGUGGGGGAUAACGCAGCGAAAGUUGUGCUAAUACCGCAUACGUACUGAGGUAGAAAGUGGGGGACCUUCGGGCCUCACGCUAUUCGAGCGGCCGACGUCUGAUUAGCUAGUAGGUGAGGUAAAGGCCCACCUAGGCGACGAUCAGUAGCGGGUCUGAGAGGAUGAUCCGCCACACUGGGACUGAGACACGGCCCAGACUCCUACGGGAGGCAGCAGUGGGGAAUUUUGGACAAUGGGCGAAAGCCUGAUCCAGCCAUGCCGCGUGUCUGAAGAAGGCCUUCGGGUUGUAAAGGACUUUUGUCAGGGAGGAAAUCCCUAGUGCUAAUAACACUGGGGGAUGACAGUACCUGAAGAAUAAGCACCGGCUAACUACGUGCCAGCAGCCGCAGUAAGAC